GCCUCAACUCCCUCCUCUGGCAGCUUGUUCCAUACACCCACCACCCUUUGUGUGAAAAACGUUGUCCCUCUGGUUCCUAUGAAAUCCUGUUCCUCUCACCUUAAACAUGUCCUCUGCUUCUUGA